UGCAAUACAGCUUCCAGACAUCAGUGGAAACACUGAGCAGCAGUCAGCUGAGAGGGGAAGAAAUUACAUCCGCCAUCUUGGAUUUUACAUAAGUCUAGAUUUGUUACCUCUCUCAAGGUUGGAUGGCUCUUGGAGAAGCUGCUCAGCCACACGGUUGCUGUGAUUGACAGAUAAAAAACCCCCGAGGCUCACACAAACAGCUCGAUGGGAUCUAAGUCGAACCGUGUGAGGUUUGUGCUUUGAUGACGAUACAUUUUGACAUUAUCCGAUGGGUUUUAAAAAGGCUUUUACAAGCGACUCCAGUUUGAUGUCUCAACUCUUCGCUUCGUCUCCAGAUGAUCUGACAACACGAGAACCAGCAGGAAUGGAGGAACAACGUUUCCAAACCUCAGCAAUGAAAGAUAAAUGUGAAAUGUAGCUGGAGGUAUUUGUACUGGAUAUGUUAUCUGUUAUGUUUUAAACAUGUACACAAGUAGAAGGUUUAAAUGAGAUCACAACCUUCCCCGGGCCCAAACUGACUUUAUUUGUCAAUUGCCAGAAGAUUAAUCUGCAACUAUUUUGAUAAUGAACUAAUUAUUUAAGUAAAAUUUUAAAGCAAAGAAAUCCCACAAAAAUGAUGAUUCUUCCAUUCUAGUAAAUAUUAAAUAUUAAAUGAAUCUGAUGACAGAUGACAAAAAGAAAUCUUUGCAGCUCUCCUCUUGUUUUCAUGGUCACUAACAUCCCAUAAUCAACUUUCCACAAGCUGAAAAUCAAGUGAAAUCUGAUUGUAUCCCCCUUCUUUGGGGAAACUUUAG